rnacentral:rRNA from 1 species
UAGGGAAUCUUCCGCAAUGGGCGAAAGCCUGACGGAGCAACGCCGCGUGAGUGAUGAAGGUCUUCGGAUCGUAAAACUCUGUUAUUAGGGAAGAACAAAUGUGUAAGUAACUAUGCACGUCUUGACGGUACCUAAUCAGAAAGCCACGGCUAACUACGUGCCAGCAGCCGCGGUAAUACGUAGGUGGCAAGCGUUAUCCGGAAUUAUUGGGCGUAAAGCGCGCGUAGGCGGUUUUUUAAGUCUGAUGUGAAAGCCCACGGCUCAACCGUGGAGGGUCAUUGGAAACUGGAAGACUUGAGUGCAGAAGAGGAAAGUGGAAUUCCAUGUGUAGCGGUGAAAUGCGCAGAGAUAUGGAGGAACAACAGUGGCGAAGGCGACUUUCUGGUCUGUAACUGACGCUGAUGUGCGAAGGCGUGGGGAUCAAACAGG